AAACCAACAGGGGGGAUCAGAGUCAGAGAUUCUCAGUGGUCAGUCUUCCCAGAGUCAUCAAACAGACCUGGCCUCCAUAUUCAGUAUGCUUGAACAGAAAAUUAUGACAUUUGUGAAGAACGAGCUGAAGAUGUUCAAGAGGAUUCUUAGUCCAGAACUCCCAGAAGGCUUUGAGAGUCAGAAGCAGGAUAAGGAAGUGGUGGAUGCUGAAGAUGAGAAGCAGGAGAGCAGUGCCAGAGAGGGGCUCUGAAGAUCACACUGCACAUCCUGAGGAAAAUGAACCAGAAGGAGCUUGCUGACACACUGGAGAAAAAUGAGCUCGCUGUGAUUUGCCAACGUGAAAUCAAAUCUAAUCUAAAGAAGAAGUUUCAAUGUGUAUUUGAGGGGAUCGCUAAACAAGGAAACCCAACACUUCUCAAUAAGAUCUACACAGAGCUCUACAUCACAGAGGGUGGAACAGGAGAGGUCAAUAAUGAACAUGAGCUGAGACAGAUUGAGACCACAACCAGGAAACAAGCAAGACCAGAGACUGCAAUCAAAUGUAAUGACAUCUUCACACCCUUAACUGGACAAGACAAACGUAUCAGAACUGUGCUGACAAAGGGAGUCGCUGGCAUUGGAAAACAGUCUCUGUGCAGAAGUUCAUUCUGGACUGGGCUGAAGGAAAAGCAAAUCAGGAUGUCCAAUUUGUAUUUUCAUUCCCUUUCCGGGAGCUGAAUUUGAUGAAAGAGGACAAACACACUUUCAUUGAACUUCUCAAUCACUUCUCAAUGGAAACCAAACAAUCAGGAAUCUCCAUCUAUGACAAGUACAAAGUUCUGUUCAUCUUUGAUGGUCUGGAUGAGUGCCGACUGCCCCUAGACUUCCAGAAGAACAAGAUCUGUUGGGACGUCACAGAGUCAACCUCAGUGGAUGUUCUGCUGACAAAUCUCAUCAAGGGAAA